UCAAACUUGGUCAUUUAGAGGAAGUAAAAGUCGUAACAAGGUUUCCGUAGGUGAACCUGCGGAAGGAUCAUUAUCGAGUUUUUGAACGGGUUGUCUGCUGACUCGCGAGAGUAUGUGCACGCCUGGCUCAUCCACACUCACCUCUGUGCACUUUUCAUAGGCCGGCUCGAGGGUGCGCGUUCGCGCGUGCUUGAAGGCUCAGGCUUAUGCUUUACAACAAACGCUUCAGUUACAGAAUGUCUUACUUGCGAUAACGCAAUUAUAUACAACUUUCAGCAACGGAUCUCUUGGCUCUCGCAUCGAUGAAGAACGCAGC
rnacentral:misc_RNA from 1 species